GGGUUGUGAGGUUAAGCGACUAAGCGUACACGGUGGAUGCCCUGGCAGUCAGAGGCGAUGAAGGGCGUGCUAAUCUGCGAUAAGCGCCGGUAAGGUGAUAUGAACCGUUAUAACCGGCGAUACCCGAAUGGGGAAACCCAGUGUGACUCGUCACACUAUCAUUAACUGAAUCCAUAGGUUAAUGAGGCGAACCGGGGGAACUGAAACAUCUAAGUACCCCGAGGAAAAGAAAUCAACCGAGAUUCCCCCAGUAGCGGCGAGCGAACGGGGAGGAGCCCAGAGCCUGAAUCAGCAUGUGUGUUAGUGGAAGCGUCUGGAAAGGCGCGCGAUACAGGGUGACAGCCCCGUACACAAAAGCGCAUGUGCUGUGAGCUCGAUGAGUAGGGCGGGACACGUGGUAUCCUGUCUGAAUAUGGGGGGACCAUCCUCCAAGGCUAAAUACUCCUGACUGACCGAUAGUGAACCAGUACCGUGAGGGAAAGGCGAAAAGAACCCCGGCGAGGGGAGUGAAAAAGAACCUGAAACCGUGUACGUACAAGCAGUGGGAGCACAGGUUUACCUGUGUGACUGCGUACCUUUUGUAUAAUGGGUCAGCGACUUAUAUUCUGUAGCAAGGUUAACCGAAUAGGGGAGCCGGAGGGAAACCGAGUCUUAAUUGGGCGUUAAGUUGCAGGGUAUAGACCCGAAACCCGGUGAUCUAGCCAUGGGCAGGUUGAAGGUUGGGUAACACUAACUGGAGGACCGAACCGACUAAUGUUGAAAAAUUAGCGGAUGACCUGUGGCUGGGGGUGAAAGGCCAAUCAAACCGGGAGAUAGCUGGUUCUCCCCGAAAGCUAUUUAGGUAGCGCCUCGUGAAUUCAUCUCCGGGGGUAGAGCACUGUUUCGGCUAGGGGGCCAUCCCGGCUUACCAACCCGAUGCAAACUGCGAAUACCGGAGAAUGUUAUCACGGGAGACACACGGCGGGUGCUAACGUCCGUCGUGAAGAGGGAAACAACCCAGACCGCCAGCUAAGGUCCCAAAGUCAUGGUUAAGUGGGAAACGAUGUGGGAAGGCCCAGACAGCCAGGAUGUUGGCUUAGAAGCAGCCAUCAUUUAAAGAAAGCGUAAUAGCUCACUGGUCGAGUCGGCCUGCGCGGAAGAUGUAACGGGGCUAAACCAUGCACCGAAGCUGCGGCAGCGACGCUGAUGCGUUGUUGGGUAGGGGAGCGUUC
rnacentral:rRNA from 1 species